UCGGAUAUGGUGUAACGGCUAACAUUGCCGCCUCUCAGGAUAGCUUGUCCAGUGCGCGGCAGCUCGGGGUUCGAUUCCCCGUAUCCGAA